AUGGCGAUCUCCCCCCGCCUCCUCCUCCCGCUCCUCCUCGCGGCGGCGGCCGCCUCCGCCUUCGCCGGCGCCAACGACCUGGUCGGCGAGCUCCAGUCCCUCCGCUCCCGCUCCCCCGCCGGCGUGAUCCACCUCACCGACACCUCCGUCACCCGCUUCCUCUCCUCGCCGGCCCCGCGCCCCUACUCCGUCCUCGUCUUCUUCGACGCCACCUCGCUCCACUCCAAGACCGACCUCCACCUCCCCCAGCUCCGCCGCGAGUUCGCGCUCCUCUCCGCCUCCUUCCACGCCAACAACCCCGACUCCUCCGACCUCUUCUUCGCCGACAUCGAGUUCUCCGAGUCGCAGCACUCCUUCUCCCAGUUCGGCGUCAACUCCCUCCCCCACGUCCGCCUCAUCCGCCCGGAGCACUCCCGCCUCGCCGACUCGGAGCAGAUGGACCAGUCCCACUUCUCCCGCCUCGCCGACUCCAUGGUCGAGUUCGUGGAGGCCCGCACCGGCCUCGAGGUCGGCCCCAUCGUCCGCCCGCCUCUCGUCUCCCGCAACCAGAUGAUCCUGCUCGGCCUCUUGUUCCUGAUCUCCAUCCCGUUCGGGAUCAAGAGGAUCAUGGAAGGGGACACCCUGCUUCAUGACCGCAAGCUUUGGAUGGCCGGGGCGCUGUUCGUCUACUUCUUCAGCGUCUCAGGGGGCAUGUACGGGAUCAUCAGGCAUACGCCCAUGUUCAUCACCGACCGGGAGGAUCCAAACAAGCUCGUCUUCUUCUACCAGGGCUCAGGGAUGCAGCUCGGCGCAGAGGGGUUUGCUGUCGGUUUCCUGUACACCCUCGUGGGGCUGAUGAUAGCUGUGGUGACACACUUGCUGGUGAAGGUGGAGAGCCUGCAGACACAGCGAUUUGCGAUGCUGGCAGUCAUGGCCAUCGGGUGGUGGGCAGUCAGGAAGGUGAUUUACCUGGAUAACUGGAAGACUGGGUACGGCAUUCAUACCUUCUGGCCGAGUAGCUGGAGGUAA
rnacentral:rRNA from 1 species